rnacentral:tRNA from 1 species
GGAGAGAUGACCGAGUGGCCGAAGGUGCACGACUGGAAAUCGUGUGUGCGCUAAUCCCGCACCGUGGGUUCGACUCCCACUCUCUCCGCCA